rnacentral:rRNA from 1 species
AUUACUAAGCGGAGGAAAAGAAAACAAACGUGAUUCCCCUAGUAACGGCGAGUGAAAAGGGACAAGCCCAGCGUGAAGGCUAUGCAUCUCUCAAGUUGUCAUAGCGGUGCCACGUGAAUACGGCUGUGAUUACAGGCAAGAAAGGAGUACUGCAAGUCUCUUUGAGUAGAGCGCCAMAGCGGGUGAAAGCCCCAUAUCAGUACACUAUCCUACUAUUGCCUCUACAGACGUAUGCUAGAGUCAGGUUGCUUGAGAGUGCAACCUUAAGCAGCAGGUAGACUUCUGCUAAGGCUAAAUAUGACCGUCAGACCGAUAGCAAACAAGUACCGUGAGGGAAAGUUGAAAAGAACUUUGUAGAGAGAGUUAAAAGUACGUGAAACGGCUUGGAGGCAAACGAAUGGAGCUGCGAAGCAGGUGUGCGUGUUUCAACUUGACGUACCUUGUGGCUGCCUUUGGAGUAGCACUUGAUGUGUACUCUGAUGGGUAGUUUGCAGUGUGCAACGAGUGCAUUACACGCCGCCUAAUACGUGGUGAGCAGUUGAAYAGUGUUGCUAUACACACAUGURGAAGGAGUAUGGAGAWGAGUUUGCUUCACAGUAAGCUCAGUUUAUUCUUCAGCCUUCAACAUGGUACAGCAAUCACACAUUGACUGUUGAUACUCAAAUCUCCCGUAUGGGGGUACGGAGGAGGGAAGGACCAAGGGAAAUGAGAGUGCAUGUAAGCUUGAAGUCGUUAGCUUGUCUAUCGACUCACCUUACAAGUACAGCAUUAGCCUGUGGUUCCAACUCUCCUCCAUCACUACGAUAGUGGUCUCUAUUCGACCCGUCUUGAAACACGGACCAAGGAGUCUAGUAAGUACGCGAGUCACACAGUCUUGACUAGGCUUGUGAGGCGAAGCGAACGCAAUCGUUGUGAUCCUCCUAAAAAGGCGCAACAACGAGGUCUAGCAAUAGGCACUCUUAGCGUACUCACUGGUACCCGAAAGAUGGUGAUCUAUGCCUGAGCAAGACGAAGCCAGAGGAAACUCUGGUGGAGGUCUGUAGCGGUUCUGACGUGCAAAUCGAUCGUCAGACUUGGGUAUAGGGGCGAAAGACUAAUCGAACCAUCUAGUAGCUGGUUCCUUCCGAAGUUUCCCUCAGGAUAGCAGGGGUGGAGUUAACUCACUAGUUGCUCCCGGUAAAGCGAAUGAUUAGAGGUAUUGGGGACGAAAAGUCCUCAACCUAUUCUCAAACUUUAAAUGGGUUCACAGACUCACUUUCUUAACUGAAGCGAGUCGUAACAGAAUACCCGCCCCUAGUGGGCCAUUUUUGGUAAGCAGAACUGGCGCUGUGGUAUGAACCAAACGUCAAGUUAAAGCGUCAAAAAUACGCUAAUCAGAUACCAUGAAAGGUGUUUAUUGCUCGGGACAGCAGGACGGUGGCCAUGGAAGUCGGAAUCCGCUAAGGAGUGUGUAACAACUCACCUGCCGAAGCAAUAAGCCCUGAAAAUGGAUGACGCUUAAGCGUAUUGCUUAUACUUGACUGUGUGUGUACUYAACAACACAAGUGAAACACACACAAGUAGGAAGGCGUAUUGAUGUGCGUAGAAGACCAUCGUGUAAACGAGGUUGGAGCCGUCAAUAGUGCAGAUCUUGGUGGUAGUAGCAAAUACUCAAGUGAGAUCCUUGAGGACCGAUGAGGAGAAGGGUUCCAUGUGAACAGUAGUUGAACAUGGGUCAGUCGGCCCUAAGAUAAGCGCGAAAGCGUUAACAAACCGAGUGUUUCAGCGUGUAGCCCUGUUCUGCUUCACGGCAGUUCAGAGUAUUUCACCACACUCGUAUCGAAAGGAAAUCAGGUUAAAAUUCCUGAACUUGGUUGCGGGGCAGGUUGUUGUACUGCAAAGUACUACACCAGAAGCGGUAACGCAUACGAUCUGACUUACGUCGUGUCGAGUCUCGGGAAGAGUUGUCUUUUCUUGUUUAGACGUUGAAUCCCUGGAAUUGGUUCACCCAGAGAUAGGGAUGCAAAUGUCGUAAAGCACCACGGCUCUUGUGGUGUCCGAUGCACUCGGUCCGGCCCUUGAAAACGUCAGUGAGUGAUGCACAGCUUGCAUGUGGUUGCCGUAAUAAGCGCUGCAUGCAAGUUGUGAUGCCCCUCGCUCCAAGCCGUACCCAUAUCCGCAGCAGGUCUCCAAGGUUAACAGCCUCUGGUUCAUGUGACAAUGUAGGUGAGGGAAGUCGGCAAAACCGAUCCGUAACUUCGGGACAAGGAUUGGCUCUGUUGAUAGGGAGAAGAGGGUCGUAGGCGACAGUGUUUGGUCACCGUACACUGUGCUUGUUUGACUGGGCUUCACGGCCUGGCUGAGCAGGUGCUAAGUACUGAUCAUUCCAAGCCUAUGACUAGCCUUAGGAUCAACACGGGGAGUAGUAAAAUACRACUCGUGCCUAACGGAUUAACUCUUCUCAGCUAACUAUCGCAACAGAACUGGCACGGACCCCGGGAAUCCGACUGUCUAAUUAAAA